AUGGCUGCAGCAUGGUGGAUGCUUCAACUUGAACAAUACGAAAAUAAUAUUUUAAGAAUACGUAGAAGAGAAUUACAAGAUCUAAGCAAUCCUUUUGAGAUACCAGAAUCCCAAUUUAUGGCUUUAUAUCGGUAAGUAUAAACAAUCUAGUACAUUUUGCUUUGUAAUUACAUUUUAGAUUACUAAAUAAUGAAACGUUAUUAACAAUUAAGCAAUAGAUAUUUUGAUAUUAAUGAUUUUACAAUUAUACAGAUUUUCAAAAGAUGCCAUUUUUAUGUUGUAUGAAAGUAUACAACCUUAUGUUUAAGGAUCAGAAGUUGACAGCAAUACCAUUAGAAUUAAAGGUUUUGGAUUAAUACUAACUUUCCGGAGGUAAUAGGAGUUAUAGAUGGGGCACAUGUGGCAAUAUGGCCACCAGAAAGAAACAGAGAACAUUAAUAGAAAAUUAUUUCAUUCCCUAAAUGUUAUGAUGCAGUUUUAGCAAGUCACGGUGGCCGUACUCAUGAUUCUAGAGUUUGGAAUUUCUCUCGAUUAGCCAGAUAUAUGUUAAACAAAUAUCAGAAUGGUAGAAGAAAUGUAUGAUUAUUAGGUAAUGCAGGAUAUCCCUUAUUACCAUAUUUAAUGAUACCCAAAUUAAAUCAACCACCAGGAUCUCCAAGUACAGCAUAUACAGAUGCUCAUAUUAAAGCACGAUGCUCAGUCGAAAGAACAAUAGGUAUAUUGAAAGGUCGAUAGAGAUGUUUACGCAAAGAAAGGGCUUUACACUAUGUACCUGAAUUUGCAGCAUUGAUCGUAAACACAACUUGUGUUCUACAUAAUAUUGCAAAAUGUUUUAAUAUUCUGGAUGGCGAUGUAUACAGAGAUGAAAAUAUUGAAGAAGAAUUAGGACUGAUUUUUGAUGAAAAUUUACGUGCAAGAGGAAAUGAAGUGCGAGAAAGAAUAAUACUAUUAUACAAUAUUUUACAUGACUUUAUUUUUUAUAAAACAAUGUAACAAGUAUAUUAUUUGAAAAUGUAUUUUUUUCUACUAAAACUAAAAGUAACAUGAAACAUUAUCUUUAAUCUCUUUUUUAUUUUAUGUACUAUAUUUUAGAACUAUA
rnacentral:lncRNA from 13 species